ACUCAAAUGAAUUGACGGGGACCUGCACAAGCAGUGGAGCGUGUGGUUUAAUUCGAUACAAAACGAAAAACCUCACCAGGGUUUGACAUGUAGCUGCAAGCGCACGGAAACGUGUGAUCUUCGAGAGUGCUACACAGAUGCUGCAUGGCUGUCGUCAGCUCGUGGCGUGAGCUGUUUCCUUAAGUGGAUAAACGAGCGCAACCCGCACCGUAUGUUAAAUAAUCCAUGCGGAACUGCUCUUCUUUUGAAGAGAGGAAGGCGCGGAUGAUGUCAAGUCAGCACGGCUCUUACACCCUGGGCUACACACACACUACAAUGGCGAAUAACAACGAGCUGCAAGUCGGUAACGGCAAGCUAAUCUCUGAAAUUUCGCCCCAGUUCGGAUUGAGGGCUGCAAUUCGCCCUCAUGAAGUCGGAAUUGCUAGUAAUCGCGGAUCAGCACGCCGCGGUGAAUACGUUCUCAGGUCUUGUACACACCGCCCGU
rnacentral:rRNA from 1 species